GCAAGUCGAACGGCAGCGAAGAGAAGCUUGCUUCUCUGUCGGCGAGUGGCGAACGGGUGAGUAUAGCAUCGGAACGUGCCAAGUAGUGGGGGAUAACCAAGCGAAAGUUUGGCUAAUACCGCGUAAGCUCUAAGGAGGAAAGUAGGGGACCGCAAGGCCUUACGCUAUUUGAUCGGCCGAUGUCGGAUUAGCUAGUUGGUGAGGUAAUGGCUCACCAAGGCGAUGAUCCGUAGCGGGUCUGAGAGGACGAUCCGCCACACUGGGACUGAGACACGGCCCAGACUCCUACGGGAGGCAGCAGUGGGGAAUUUUGGACAAUGGGGGGAACCCUGAUCCAGCCAUGCCGCGUGUAUGAAGAAGGCCUUAGGGUUGUAAAGUACUUUUGUUAGGGAAGAAAAGCUAGUUUUGAAUAAAGAUUAGUGCUGACGGUACCUAAAGAAUAAGCACCGGCUAACUACGUGCCAGCAGCCGCGGUAAUACGUAGGGUGCGAGCGUUAAUCGGAAUUAUUGGGCGUAAAGCGAGUGCAGACGGUUGUUUAAGCCAGAUGUGAAAUCCCCGAGCUUAACUUGGGACGUGCAUUUGGAACUGGAUAACUAGAGUGUGUCAGAGGGAGGUAGAAUUCCACAUGUAGCGGUGGAAUGCGUAGAGAUGUGGAGGAAUACCGAUGGCGAAGGCAGCCUCCUGGGAUAACACUGACGUUGAGGCUCGAAAGCGUGGGGAGCAAACAGGAUUAGAUACCCUGGUAGUCCACGCCCUAAACGAUGACAAUUAGCUGUUGGGCUUUGAAAGGCUUAGUAGCGAAGCUAACGCGUGAAAUUGUCCGCCUGGGGAGUACGGUCGCAAGAUUAAAACUCAAGGAAUUGACGGGGACCCGCACAAGCGGUGGAUGAUGUGGAUUAAUUCGAUGCAACGCGAAGAACCUUACCU
rnacentral:rRNA from 1 species